ACUGAGUGUUGAGAGCUCAGUCUGCUAUAUAAGCCUAGAAGAUAAAGAGUUUUGAGAACAGUGCUGACUAAAGACUCCUGGCUUCUGAAGUUUCAAACAACAAAAAAAAUUUUGCGUGGCCCUUAAGGACUCUGACAGGUAUGUUGAGAAUAUGUGGUUUGGUUAGCUGGGGCAGAAUGCUUAACAAGAGACCCGAACCACUAUAGUAACACAUUUGCUUUGCUGGGAUAAUGGAUAAUGCUCAGCUGCAGAGCUAAGAAAUUAGCUGAUUUAGAUCACCAUCAUCACUGAGUUGAAAUCUUCCGGGAAGUGGUUUCCUAAGAGCACAGAACUGUCUUCCAGAGUUAGCCAUGGUUGUACCUUGUGCUGGCAGCCCGACUUGGUAGUGUAAAAGUCACCCAGGCAAUGGUUUUAAAGGCCUAAGGGGUCAUGGAGAGCAGUGGAGAUCUGGCACUGAGAGGCACGGAUAGGUGGUUGGUAAAGGUGCGGCCUCAGUAGCAGUUGAACCUUCAGGAUUGAAGGGGUCAAUGAAGAAAAGCCAAGGCUUAUCACCAUAACCAGAGCACAGGAUAGGCUACCGGUGAAAGUGGAGUCCAACUGUAGCAAGCCAGGCAAUACUCUGGAGAUCCCAGUACCCUGAGAUGACGAACAAAAACAGGAACAGUGGACUGGAGUAGCACCUAGAAGACAAGCUGUGUGUGCUGCACAGGGCAGAGCCUGAGAAGUGACCAAAGUCCUCUACAAGAGCUCAGAAGAUUUGGAGUCGACCCUGCACACAAGGUACUGAGUUAUCUGCAGCUGGAAUUUGGUUUGCUUCAUUCAGAUUGUGACUGACUCGUCCCUCUUAACAUAAAAAAAAAUAUUUAACUCAUUUUUUACUUUAUAGGAGUUCAUAAUUGAGAGACACUGAAUUUUUAAAAGACUUGGAUUUUAAAACAGAGUGGAUAUUUUAAAGAGGCUGGACUUUUAAGUGUUUGAUUUUUAAAGACUGGAACUUUUGAAGUUUGUAAAAUGUUUUAUAUUGUAAUGUCAAUAUUAAUGUGUGAUCUUCGGGAAGACCAAGGAAGGAAAGUUUGUGGCUUAACAGUGAGACAUUUGUGUGUGAAGCUAAAACCAAGUCAGUUGUGCUAGCUUUAUGUCAGCUUGACACAGGAAUAGUCAUAUUAGACAUAACUCUAUUUUCUUAAUUGAGAAAAUGCCUCCAUAAGAUUGGGCUGCCUGCAAGUGAUUGAUUGCGGGAGGUUUCAGUCCAUUGUGGGUGGGGCCACCAAUGAGCUGGUAGUUCUUGGUUGUAUAAGCAAGCAAGCUGAUCAAGCCAGGGAGACGAAGCCAGUAAAAGCACCCUGCAUGACCUUUGUAUCAGCUUAUGCUUCCAGAUUCCUGCCCCGAUUGAAUUCUUGUCCUUAUUGCUUUUGAAAAUGAACUGUGAGUGAAAUAAAAUCUUUCCUGUUUAAGUUGC
rnacentral:lncRNA from 1 species